rnacentral:rRNA from 1 species
AUGUAAUGUAAUGCCUACAAUGUUAAUGCACCAUAUCCCAUUAGAACUCUGUAGUUAAGCACGUUUGGGAUAGAGUAUUACUAGGAUGGGUGAUCUCCCAAAAAGUCCUAGUGUUUUACAUG